GUUGCUGUCGAUUCCACUAACCACUGCUGCAGUAUUUAUACCCGGUUGAAGCUCACCUUCGGCACCAGAUUGUUGCACCUACCAAUGUGACCUGCUGCCGUUUCCUGCUGUUCUGCCAGCUCUACAUAACUCAGACCUCGCAACCUCCAGAGAGAGAGUUUGGAUGCAUCUCUGCCUGCCGCCUCAGCUGCAAUCCAGUUCAGUGUCCUCCAGCCCUGUUUUCUCUAUCCUAGGCUGCUAUAAGUACUAGUCUCUCAUUAAAACGUUUGAAAUCGUUA